rnacentral:lncRNA from 1 species
UGCCAACAGACAGAUCCAAAAUUACACUGUGACUCAUCCAUCAGGCAUUCAAACAUUUUUACUUUCUUAAAAUGUCUGGAGUUUGAAUCAUCCAAAUCUCCAUCAAAAGAAGAAGCAAGCAAGCACUUUCUCCUUUCUGAUGGGAUGUUUUGACAAGAGGCUGUGUCUUUCGCCAGCAAACGCAGAAACGUGUGGCAUUCAAAGGUCAGUAACAGCAGUCAGCAGUGUUUGCAAUAUCCUGGGUGCUGAUCAGGCUGCUAACCAACUUGUCUCUACAGAUUUUUACCUCUAAUAGAGCCUUGCAAAGAACAAAAGCACUUUGGCUAUGGUAAGUCUCCUCAAAAAUCAGAGCACUGUUUGCUCAUCCCCUUCUUCUGUGUUGGUAAAAGAUGCAGGCAGACUCCAUCCUUUGAUCCACUCUGGUGGUGUGAUGUGCCAUAACACAAUGGAUGUAAACGGUCGUAUCCAGGUACGUGGUUACUGCAGGUAACUCCUCUGAUAGUCACAGAUCUGAAGCAUGCUGGAAGUGUGACAUAGGGAGGGAAAGAUAUUGAAAACAAACAAACAAAAAAACGUUCAGUGCAGAUCUCUUGGGCUGCAGAACAUUGCCAUAAACACAAAAUAUAGCAGCAAGCAUAUUGAACUAGGAAAAACAAGACAAAUAGAUCAAUUCUCCCUUCCCUAUGGUGUCACCUGUCCUUUUCCAACAAUAAUAUAUUUUGACAGUCUUUAUAGAAAGAACAUUUAAAUCAGAUUUUGAUCUCCAUAUAUUUUAACAGCUGGAACAGGAAGAUAUAGAACAGCUCACAAUUGUUUUCCAUAUGAAGAUAUGGAGAUAACUCUAAAUCCUUUGAUUUGGCAGAGAAAACUAGUAUGAAUUGCCAAUAUAGUCUGUCUGAUGCAUCUUUUAUUCAGAAGGAAAAUGCCAUUUGUUAUCGUGCAUACUUCAACCAAAGCAUGCAGAAAUACAGAAAGAGAGGAAACCUUUAAAAGGCUUCCUUAGGAGCAGGAAGAACACCAUACCUUUCAAGUCACUAGGAGACCAUAAGAAGUUUUAUUGUUUGAAUAUGAAAUGAAGAACCUUCAGAAAAUCACUAUCAGUUGUGAACCAAGACUGGAACAGGCAGUCAG